rnacentral:rRNA from 1 species
UACGUAGGGUGCAAGCGUUGUCCGGAAUUAUUGGGCGUAAAGAGCUCGUAGGCGGUCUGUCGCGUCUGCUGUGAAAACUCAGGGCUUAACCCUGAGCUUGCAGUGGGUACGGGCAGACUAGAGUGCGGUAGGGGAGACUGGAAUUCCUGGUGUAGCGGUGAAAUGCGCAGAUAUCAGGAGGAACACCGGUGGCGAAGGCGGGUCUCUGGGCCGUAACUGACGCUGGAGGAGCGGAAAAGCGUGGGUAGCAAACAGG